rnacentral:lncRNA from 1 species
GCUUGUGUAACGUCCAGUUAUCUAAAAGAAAUCUAUGAAAGUCAUAUUGAAGAUCAGAUGAAAUCAUGAACAGGAAACUUUUUUAUACUUCUCUAGCUAUAACUAGAGGCUCUCAAGAGCCUGUAUCGCUCACCUGAUUCUACCUGGGUUUUUGAAAUCAUAUAAAACUAGAGGCUCUCAAGAGCCUGUGUCGCUCACUUUGGUCUUUGUGCAUAUUAAACAAUGGACACAGAUAAAUUCACGACAAAAUUGUGUUUUGGUGAUGGUGACGUGUAUGUAUAUCUUACUGUACUGAACAUUCUUGUUGCUACAAUUAUCAAUAUUUAUAAUGAUCUUGGCCCAGUAAUUACAGUGGAAAAUAUUUUUUUUAAAUUUACCAAAAUUUAUGAAAAAUGUUAAAAAUUGACUAUAAAGGGCAAUAACUCCUUAAGGGGUCAAUUGACAAUUUUGGUCAUGUUGCCUUAUUUGUAGAUCUUACUUUGCUG